AGGAAGGUGGGGAGGACGUCAAUUCUUCAUGCCCCUUAUGCCCUGGGUUCCACACGUGUUCCAAUGGGCGGUCCAAAGGGUUGCGAACCCGCGAGGGGGAGCGAUUCCCAAAAAGCCGUUUUCAGUUCGGAUUCCAGGUUGCAAUUCC
rnacentral:rRNA from 1 species